GGUCAUCAUUUUGAAUCAUGAAGCUUCCUCUGCUGCUGCUCUGCUCUGUGCUGCUGCUCUCCAUCUCAGGUCUGUCUCUUUUUAAAGGUUUAUUUAUCACAUGUUUAAGCUACAGAGUCAAAACUCUUUACUGGCCAAAGUACCAACUUGUAAAACUCUAAACUGAUUGAACCUCAAACUGACCACAGUUACUCUGCUGUCACUGUGAUGAUUAAUCUUGGAACAGAGCUCAGAUUAAAGGCCAGUGGAAAAAAGUUUUUUGGACUUUAGGAUUCAUUAAGGGAAUUAUUCAUUCAUGGACAUGUUGAUUUAUGAUGAAUAGAGUGUAAACACAGAUUAGUGUGUUUAUUUUUGUUUGCUUUAACAUGUUUUUUUGUUUUUUACAGACAGACUGUGACAUUAAUGUGUUAACUAUGAACUGUUUCUGACUAUGAUCUAAGUAUGCAUUACUGAACUCCAUUAAUCAGGACUGAAAUUCUAUCUUCAUAAGGGAAAAGGUUGUGAGAUGAAAUAGUUCCUCUUUCACAGGGUGUCAACCUCACUUCAGGUCCUUUUUACAGAGACAGAAAAGAUGCAGAGUGAUGAUCUGCUGGGUCACAUUUCUCUGAGCUAAACACUGUGACAUCUUCCCAUUGUUCUCUAACGAAUGUGUUUGUGUGUCUUCAGAGAUACGGACUGAUAUUAGAUUAUUUUUUAUCCAGUUUUCUCAUAGAGGAGGCUGUGGUUUUUUCUCUCAGUCCAUGUGACCGUUUUACAGCAAUAAAACAUAAAUUUAUGCUCCACCACAGUGAGCAAUAAUCAUUGGAGGACAGUAAAGAAUUGUAAUAAGUCUCCUCAAAGAAUAAUACUCCAGCGAAUACUCAAAAAUGGGACUUGGCCAUGACCGACAUUAACACACAACAGGUGGAUAUUUUUUCCCACCUUAUUGUUCACAGCUUGUAACCUUAGAGCCUUGCUUCUCUUCACACACCUGACUGUUGUCUACUGUAUUAUUUAGAAAAUUAAAAAAAUUAGACCGGUCCCUUUUAAAGCUUUAAAUCUCUUCUCUGACAGAAAAGCCACACCUGCCACAUUCAUCUAAAGAUUAUUACUGAGAUAGGAGUCACUCUCUGUUCAAUUGAAUCUCAUGUGUAAUGUGUAUACGUGCAUGCGUGCAUUUGUGUGUGUGUGUGUGUGUGUGUGUGUGUAGUCCUGUCUCAGGAAAAUGAGGGUCCAGCUGACGGACAAGGAGACUGUGCUGAACCCUGGGCGGUAAGACUCAGAAACACACACAUUAACACACUAAUACUCAUGCAGAGCUCAGAGGAGUGGUGUGUUUCCGUUGAUGUUAAGUUGUAAACAUGAUUCCGUCACUUCUAAACCUUCUGGGGUGAAUUCACCAAGAACAGAGUGGAGUUGCCUUUUGUACCAUGAGUUGUGCAUCAUUUGCCUCUGCUCUGAGCUCCAUCUCCACCACUCAUGUACAUUUGUGUAGUAAUUAAAGGCUACAAAUUUAUUGAUGAGAUGCGUGUGUGUGUGUUUUUGCGUGUGUUUUUGUGUGUGCGUGUGUGUUUUAUCCAGGCCCAUUGUGAGAAAUACGACUUACCUUACUGCUUUAAGGUUUAUAACCCUGUUUGCGGUGAUGAUGGCGUAACCUACAGUAACGAGUGUACACUCUGUUUUCACAACUUGUAAGAUGUGCACACACACACACACACGCACGCACGCACAACCACACACACACACACACACACACACACACACACACACACACACACACACACACACACACACACACACACACACACACAAAUCUGCUCUUUCAAUCCUUUUCUACCUGUUAAGGUAAUUCGUGGAGACAGUUGAUUACUGGACAGCUGACCAGUAACUUCUGCUCUUAGAUCAAUCUGAUGUUUUCAUCCAUUGUCUGUGCUCUUACUGAGCUCAGAUCAAUGGAUAGCUUAGUUUGAGCAGAGAGAGCAGUGUGUUGUUAGCAUGCAGAUGGAUCAUGAUGGCUGCAUCAUUGAGUUUAAAGAGAUUUUAGGGUGAACAGGUUGUAUUUCUGUGAGUUGGGCUCUUUUAUGCUCUAGUGAGACUGUGAGAUUCUGGAUACAUGAUUUUGGCCAGUAUGCAGUAUGUCUCCAGAAAAUAAAAAGAGGCUGAGAGAGGAACCCUGAAGAACACCAUACUGAGGUUUAUCAGAGAGACAGAAAAACUCCUGUCAGAGAUAUAUUUACAGUCUAUAGCUCCCACACUCUGAUUUCUCAAAGACUAUUUUUACAAUAUUCGUAUUAACUCCACACACACAUUUCAAAUGUAAAAACUAACUCCUUGAAUGUUCUGGGGGUUUUUUUGUUUGUUUUUCUACAGGGAGAAUCACGCCACUGUGAAAAUCCUGAGAGAAGGGGAAUGCGAUUAACUGCUGUGUGCCACACGCAUGCACACACAUACUGAAUAAAGUCUCAUACUGAUUCCCUCACACCCUCUGUCUGUGUGUUCAUUUCACUUGAACUCUGAAGAUAAAGCAGCGUCUGAAACACUGAUCUCCAUGUUUGGAGCUCGACCACCUACCUCAUGUUUUUACCUGUUCAGACCCAACAGUAAAUUAAUGAAUAACUCUGAGAAACAUCAAAACACUGCGCUGUUAGGAUAAAAUAUUACCUUACACCCACAAACAUUUUACAUAACAAAACAACAAACAUUAACAAAAUCUGUAUUGGAAAACACACAAAGAAUAAAGAAAAUAUUAAAAUGUUUAAGAACAACAAAAACAUUUUGAAAACAAAAAUAGUUGGAAACAGAUAUUUUCAAAACAUAAGAGAACUUUGAUAAAGGAAAAAAUAUUGUAAAACCAUUAAAAUUGUUUAUAAAACGCAAAUCUUGGAACCAUGAAAAUAUUUUGAAAACACAAAUAAAUUUGUAAAUACAAAAAUAUAUAAAAAAAAAAAAAUAGUCAUGAGAAAAAACAAUAAUACUUAAGAGUAUAAAGAAAAAUUCUCUUACCUAAAAAUGUUCUGCUCUCAAAAUAUUUUGCUGCCAAAGGGGUAGGGGUAGGGCCAAACCACUUGAUUGUGAUGGGACAAAAUUGAGGUGCUGAAGUAUUUAACAUUUUUGUAUUUUCAAAAUAUAUUUGCUUUUUUAAUUAUUAUCACCUUUUUUUUAAUUAGUGUUGAUCUGUGGUUUAAAAAUCGGUCUGCUUUUUAUACAAAGUACUAGGGCCGAAAGUCUGUUGAUCCUGGAGAAUUCUCAGAUAUUAACCCAUUCAGACAGCACAUUUACAUGUUGUUCAAAAGUUAGGAUUUUUGCCUUAGUUGGACUGGGACUGGACCUCUGGUAUUUUGGCCUCCUGUGUGGAAUAGAUAAUUCACAAAAAUAAAGUUGAUUUAACUCUAUAGCUCCUGGAACUCACUAUGCAACAUGUACCUGCCCUCCUCAAAGCAUGUGUCAUGUCCUUUGUUGCAGCAUUUCUUAUUUCUUAAUUUCCUGUUUUUUUUGUCCUGUCAUAUGUUUUUGUGUAACUGUAGCCUAGUACUUUUGAAAAGUCAUCAGUGAAAAAAAAAAGGUGCAUCCUCUCUCGGAUCAAUGUGAAAGUGCAUUUUUAAAACUGUAACAAAACAAACUCCAACCACAGUAUGAAGAAACUGAAAAGAAACAAACUAUAAAGUCAGUUGAACAGAGAAGAAGAAGACGACCUUUAUUGAUCCCCGAGGGGAAAUUCAUUGAGAUAUAUAAUAUAUAAUAUACCCCUCAGAGCAGGUGUACAUUAGUUUUACUUUAAAUACAUGCUAUAUGAUCUUUGUCUGUUUUUAAGGUUUAUAAAAUAAAGGGUGUCACAUUUAUUUAUUUACCACUAACCCUAACCAAUAACAAUGUAAUCAACAAAUUAUUAAAAGUGUUUCAUAGUUUUAUUAAAAGGUCUUUAUACCCAGCAUAAUUUAAAAUGAUUAAAUUCUGGAAGUCGUCAAGCUUCCUGUGUUUAUCUAAAGCAAUGUUUUUACAUGCAUAUCAAUCACGUUUAACAUAACUGUAAUAUAUGGUGUCAUCUCUCCUGUUUAAGCUUCUUUGAACCGGCUUUCUACUUGUUCUUCGAUUUUACUGAUGACUUUUAAAGCUCCCCAUUGCUUUUUUUCAGCUAGAACAUCUGAUAGUGCUGUUUGAGCUGACACAUACAAGAUCCAUCUGCUGAGAUCUGUGCCUUAGCAGUGAAGGAUCAAAACUCUCAUGGAUCAGUCUGCCAAAGGGGAUCAGGUCUGCUUAGUAACUCAUCUCUUAAAUUUUCCUGAACACUUUUAUUUGUGAGUCAGUCCUGAUCUUACACAAUAUUGGGGUCUAUCAAAUUUAUCUCCUACAGUUCUGUUGUAUUUUGCUGUCUGCGUUGUGCACUGUAUAUGGGAUUUUGAUGGUCUAUUAAGUGAAGUUUAUCAUUAUAUAUAUUAAUCAGAAGGAUAUUAGUGUUAGAUUUAAAAAAAAACGGAUUCCCGAUGACGAACAUCAGUACUCUGAUCAGACGCAACGGUCUUUGUAACCACUAAGGGGCACUGCUGCACAGGAAACUCCGUAAGUCUUAAUAUACAAGCAUGUAGUUCCUGCUGCGGGCCAACAGGAGGCGCAGCGAAAAUUUGAAUUUUGUUUUCUAUAUAUACUUAUUCAUUGACUGAUUGGUCAUCAUUUUGAAUCAUGAAGCUUCCUCUGCUGCUGCUCUGCUCUGUGCUGCUGCUCUCCAUCUCAGGUCUGUCUCUUUUUUAAGGUUUAUUUAUCACAUGUUUAAGCUACAGAGUCAAAACUCUUUAAUGGCCAAAGUACCAACUUGUAAAGCUCCAAACUGAUUGAACCUCAAACUGACCACAGUUACUCUGCUGUCACUGUGAUGAUUAAUCUUGGAACAGAGCUCAGAUUAAAGGCCAGUGGAAAAAAGUUUUUUGGACUUUAGGAUUCAUUAAGGGAAUUAUUCAUUCAUGGACAUGUUGAUUUAUGAUGAAUAGAGUGUAAACACAGAUUAGUGUGUUUAUUUUUGUUUGCUUUAACAUGUUUUUUGUUUUUUACAGACAGACUGUGACAUUAAUGUGUUAACUAUGAACUGUUUCUGACUAUGAUCUAAGUAUGCAUUACUGAACUCCAUUAAUCAGGACUGAAAUUCUAUCUUUAUAAGGGAAAAGGCUGUGAGAUGAAAUAGUUCCUCUUUCACAGGUUGUCAACCUCACUUCAGGUCCUUUUUACAGAGACAGAAAAGAUGCAGAGUGAUGAUCUGCUGGGUCACAUUUCUGAGCCAAACACUGUGACAUCUUCCCAUUGUUCUCUAACGAAUGUGUUUGUGUGUCUUCAGAGAUACGGACUGAUAUUAGAUUGUUUUUUUAUCCAGUUUUCUCAUAGAGGAGGCUGUGGUUUUUUCUCUCAGUCCAUGUCACCGUCUUACGGCAAUAAAACAUAGCUUUAAGCUCCACCACAGUGAGCAAUAAUCAUUGGAGGACAGUAAAGAAUUGUAUUUAGUCUCCUCAAAGAAUAAUACUACAGCGAAUACUCAAAAAUGGACUUUGCCAUGACCUACAUUAACACACAACAGGUGGAUAUUUUUUCCCACCUUAUUGUUCACAGCUUGUAACCUUAGAGCCUUGCUUCUCUUCACACACCUGACUGUUAUCUACUGUUUUAUUUAGAAAAUUAAAAAAUUAGACCGGUCCCUUUUAAAGCUUUCAAUCCCUUCUCUGACAGAAAAGCCACACCUGCCACAUUCAUCUACAGAUUAUUACUCAGAUUGGAGUCACUCUCUGUUCAACUGAAUCUGAUGUGUAAUGUGUAUACGUGCAUGCGUGCAUGUGUGUGUGUGUGUGUGUGUGUGUGUGUAGUCCUGUCUCAGGAAAAUGAGGGUCCACCUGAUGGACAAGGAGACUCUGCUGAACCCUGGGCGGUAAGACUCAGAAACACACACAUUAACACACUAAUACUCAUGCAGAGCUCAGAGGAGUGGUGUGUUUCCGUUGAUGUUAAGUUGUAAACAUGAUUUCGUCACUUCUAAACCUUCUGGGGUGAAUUUACCAAGAACAGAGUGGAGUUGCCUUUUGUACCAUGAGUUGUGCAUCAUUUGCCUCUGCUCUGAGCUCCAUCUCCACCACUCAUGUACAUUUGUGUAGUAAUUAAAGGCUACAAAUUUAUUUAUGAGAUGCGUGUGUGUGUGUGUUUUUGCGUGUGUUUUUGUGUAUGUGUUUUUGUGUUUUAUCCAGGCGCAUUGUGAGAAAUACAAAUUACCUUACUGCCAUCGGGAUUAUAACCCUGUUUGUGGUGAUGAUGGCGUAAUCUACAGUAACGAGUGUACACUCUGUUUUCACAACUUGUAAGAUGUGCACACACACACACACACACACACACGCACGCACGCACGCACGCAGGCACACACACACACACACACACACACACACACACACACACACACACACACACACACAAAUCUGCUCUUUCAAUCCUUUCUACCUGUUAAGGUAAUUCCUUGAGACAGCUGAGUUCUCAGAGUUUUUUUGUGACCACUAAUAUCUGCUCUGAGAUCAAUCUGAUGUUUUCAUCCCAUUGUCUUUGCUCUUACUGAGCUCAGAUCAAUGGAUAGCUUAGUUUGAGCAGAGAGAGCAGUGUGUUGUUAGCAUGCAGAUGGAUCACGAUGGCUGCAUCACCGAGUUUAAAGAGAUUUUAGGGUGAACAGGUUGUAUUUCUGUGAGUUGGGCUCUUUUAUGCUCUAGUGAGACUUUGUGAGAUUCUGGAUACAUGAUUUUGGCCAGUAUGCAGUAUGUCUCCAGAAAAUAAAAAGAGGCUGAGAGAGGAACCCUGAGGAACACCAUACUGAGGUUUAUCAGAGAGACAGAAAAACUCCUGUCAGAGAUAUAUUUACAGUCUAUAGCUCCCACACUCUGAUUUCUCAGACUAGUUUUAUAAUAUUCGUAUUAACUCCACACACACAUUUCAAAUGUAAAAACUAACUCCUUGAAUAUUGUUCAAGAUUUUUUUUUUGUUUUUCUACAGGGAGAAUCACGCCACUGUGAAAAUCCUGAGAGAAGGGAAAUGCGAUUAACUGCUGUGUGCCACACACAUGCACACACAUACUGAAUAAAGUCUCAUACUGAUUCCCUCACA
rnacentral:lncRNA from 1 species